UGGAGGUAGACAAAUGAUGCCCGAGAA
rnacentral:piRNA from 1 species